rnacentral:lncRNA from 1 species
AAUCAUCCUAUGCUAAAGUAAAAGGCUCAACGAGGUCAGGCAUCAACAUCAUCAUCAUCUAUUGAAGCUUUGUUGAAGGAAUAUAUGGCUAAAAAUGAUGCUUGUAAUAGGCCCAAUUUGUCCGGCCCUUACAAAAACAAAUAAAAUCAAAAAAAUUAAAAAUAAAUUAAAAGUCCAAAAGUCUAAAAAUACAGAAACAAUUAAGCCCGAACCUAAUCUGACCCAAUAUCACAAACCCGAUACCUAAUUAUAUUACCCAACACCAGGCCCAAAUUACAAACCCAUUACAGACCAAAUCCCC